GAAAUACUCCCUCCGUCCCAAAAUUCUUGUCUUAGAUUUGUCUAAAUACGAAUGUAUGUAGUCACAUUUUAGUAUUUAGAUACAUCCAUUUUUAAACAAACUUAAGAUAAGAAAUUUGGGACAGAGGUAGUAUGAA
rnacentral:pre_miRNA from 1 species